CGGAAACAAGGGACUUUAAAGAGAUGACAUAGAGCUCAUAAUAAGAGUGCAUUUAUAAAUAUGAACCUUGGGGAGAGAUUAUUGACAGAAAACUAGAAGCAUCAAUUUGCCCUGUUCCUGGUCUUCUUCAAAGACCUGUUUUGAAAGCCAGCCAACAUGAGCUACUGUUGCUCUGCAGUCAACCAGAACAUAGCCUAUUGCUGGAGAAAAAGCAGUUCACAACGGCAGGAGCUUGUACUUUUCUGUGGGCGGUAGCUUGUGACUGCACAGCAGAGACCCAGACAAAAGGAAACUAGCUUGCUUCAGUGGGCUUUGUUUUUUGUUUUUUUGUUAAGAAGAACUGAUUUGAACAUACAGAAGUUCUUUGGCUGCUAGAAACAGUAUAGGUGAAGGGAGAGCAGAAGGCUAGCUGAGGACAAAGCACAAGCUGACACCCCGCAACCAUCCCCAGACUCAUAGACUCACAUGGAUGGAGCUGGUGAAGUUGCUGUACCCUCAAAGGAAAAGCUGCUGGACAUACAAAAACACAGAUACCUGUGAUGAUGCUUCUAAUUCAGAAAAAUGAAGAAGAAAUAAAAGAUUGUGAAAAAAGCCGAACAUGAGUAAUGAGAAUGAAGUUAUGACAGUUAUGAGAAUGAAGUUUGAAAAGUUAUGACAUUGACUUAAUGGGAUAUAUAUAUUUAAUAAGCAACAAAAAUCAUUAAAGAACAUAUGCUACUUA